rnacentral:rRNA from 1 species
CGGCGGACGGGUGAGUAACGCGUGGGUAACCUACCCUGUACACACGGAUAACAUACCGAAAGGUAUGCUAAUACGGGAUAAUAUAUUUGAGAGGCAUCUCUUGAAUAUCAAAGGUGAGCCAGUACAGGAUGGACCCGCGUCUGAUUAGCUAGUUGGUAAGGUAACGGCCUACCAAGGCGACGAUCAGUAGCCGACCUGAGAGGGUGAUCGGCCACAUUGGAACUGAGACACGGUCCAA